AGAGUUUGAUCAUGGCUCAGAUUGAACGCUGGCGGCAGGCCUAACACAUGCAAGUCGAGCGGUAGCACAGAGAGCUUGCUCUCGGGUGACGAGCGGCGGACGGGUGAGUAAUGUCUGGGAAACUGCCUGAUGGAGGGGGAUAACUACUGGAAACGGUAGCUAAUACCGCAUAAUGUCGCAAGACCAAAGUGGGGGACCUUCGGGCCUCAUGCCAUCAGAUGUGCCCAGAUGGGAUUAGCUAGUAGGUGGGGUAACGGCUCACCUAGGCGACGAUCCCUAGCUGGUCUGAGAGGAUGACCAGCCACACUGGAACUGAGACACGGUCCAGACUCCUACGGGAGGCAGCAGUGGGGAAUAUUGCACAAUGGGCGCAAGCCUGAUGCAGCCAUGCCGCGUGUGUGAAGAAGGCCUUCGGGUUGUAAAGCACUUUCAGCGGGGAGGAAGGCAUUAAGGUUAAUAACCUUGGCGAUUGACGUUACCCGCAGAAGAAGCACCGGCUAACUCCGUGCCAGCAGCCGCGGUAAUACGGAGGGUGCAAGCGUUAAUCGGAAUUACUGGGCGUAAAGCGCACGCAGGCGGUCUGUCAAGUCGGAUGUGAAAUCCCCGGGCUCAACCUGGGAACUGCAUUCGAAACUGGCAGGCUAGAGUCUUGUAGAGGGGGGUAGAAUUCCAGGUGUAGCGGUGAAAUGCGUAGAGAUCUGGAGGAAUACCGGUGGCGAAGGCGGCCCCCUGGACAAAGACUGACGCUCAGGUGCGAAAGCGUGGGGAGCAAACAGGAUUAGAUACCCUGGUAGUCCACGCCGUAAACGAUGUCGAUUUGGAGGUUGUGCCCUUGAGGCGUGGCUUCCGGAGCUAACGCGUUAAAUCGACCGCCUGGGGAGUACGGCCGCAAGGUUAAAACUCAAAUGAAUUGACGGGGGCCCGCACAAGCGGUGGAGCAUGUGGUUUAAUUCGAUGCAACGCGAAGAACCUUACCUGGUCUUGACAUCCACAGAACUUUCCAGAGAUGGAUUGGUGCCUUCGGGAACUGUGAGACAGGUGCUGCAUGGCUGUCGUCAGCUCGUGUUGUGAAAUGUUGGGUUAAGUCCCGCAACGAGCGCAACCCUUAUCCUUUGUUGCCAGCGGUUCGGCCGGGAACUCAAAGGAGACUGCCAGUGAUAAACUGGAGGAAGGUGGGGAUGACGUCAAGUCAUCAUGGCCCUUACGACCAGGGCUACACACGUGCUACAAUGGCAUAUACAAAGAGAAGCGACCUCGCGAGAGCAAGCGGACCUCAUAAAGUAUGUCGUAGUCCGGAUUGGAGUCUGCAACUCGACUCCAUGAAGUCGGAAUCGCUAGUAAUCGUAGAUCAGAAUGCUACGGUGAAUACGUUCCCGGGCCUUGUACACACCGCCCGUCACACCAUGGGAGUGGGUUGCAAAAGAAGUAGGUAGCUUAACCUUCGGGAGGGCGCUUACCACUUUGUGAUUCAUGACUGGGGUGAAGUCGUAACAAGGUAACCGUAGGGGAACCUGCGGUUGGAUCACCU
rnacentral:rRNA from 1 species